ACGGGUACCAUCAAGGUCAACGUCUGUUUUAUUGGCCACGACCAGCAUCUUCUUUUUAACUAACAGCUGGGAGUACUUCGACAGUUCACGCAUAAUUUGUUCAUACGCUUGACAAGGAUCGUCAUGAUCCACGGGAUCGAGUGAAAUUAAGUGAAUUAGGAUUUCACAACGCUCAAUGUGGCGCAGGAAAUAGUGACCCAGACCACUACCCUCACUGGCGUUUUCAAUUAACCCGGGAAUAUCAGCAAACACCAAACUUUGGUCGUUGUGUUUAACUACCCCCAAUACGGGCACUAAGGUUGUAAAACGGUAGUUAGCAAUCUUGGGUUUAGCGUUGGACAGUUUGGAAAU
rnacentral:sRNA from 1 species